rnacentral:rRNA from 1 species
AGUGAACGCUGGCGGUAGGCCUAACACAUGCAAGUCGAACGGCAGCACAGUAAGAGCUUGCUCUUACGGGUGGCGAGUGGCGGACGGGUGAGGAAUACAUCGGAAUCUACUUUUUCGUGGGGGAUAACGUAGGGAAACUUACGCUAAUACCGCAUACGACCUACGGGUGAAAGCAGGGGAUCUUCGGACCUUGCGCGAUUGAAUGAGCCGAUGUCGGAUUAGCUAGUUGGCGGGGUAAAGGCCCACCAAGGCGACGAUCCGUAGCUGGUCUGAGAGGAUGAUCAGCCACACUGGAACUGAGACACGGUCCAGACUCCUACGGGAGGCAGCAGUGGGGAAUAUUGGACAAUGGGCGCAAGCCUGAUCCAGCCAUACCGCGUGGGUGAAGAAGGCCUUCGGGUUGUAAAGCCCUUUUGUUGGGAAAGAAAAGCAGCAGGUUAAUACCCCGCCGUCCUGACGGUACCCAAAGAAUAAGCACCGGCUAACUUCGUG